rnacentral:rRNA from 1 species
ACGAACGCUGGCGGCAUGCCUCACACAUGCAAGUCGAACGAUCCCUUCGGGGAUAGUGGCGCACGGGUGCGUAACGCGUGGGAACCUGCCCUUAGGUUCGGAAUAACUCAGAGAAAUUUGAGCUAAUACCGGAUAAUGUCUUCGGACCAAAGAUUUAUCGCCUUUGGAUGGGCCCGCGUUGGAUUAGCUAGUUGGUGGGGUAAAGGCCUACCAAGGCGACGAUCCAUAGCUGGUCUGAGAGGAUGAUCAGCCACACUGGGACUGAGACACGGCCCAGACUCCUACGGGAGGCAGCAGUGGGGAAUAUUGGACAAUGGGCGAAAGCCUGAUCCAGCAAUGCCGCGUGAGUGAUGAAGGCCUUAGGGUUGUAAAGCUCUUUUACCCGGGAUGAUAAUGACAGUACCGGGAGAAUAAGCCCCGGCUAACUCCGUG